rnacentral:rRNA from 1 species
AACGCUGGCGGCGUGCCUAAUACAUGCAAGUCGAGCGAAUGGGAUUAAGAGCUUGCUCUUAUGAAGUUAGCGGCGGACGGGUGAGUAACACGUGGGUAACCUGCCCAUAAGACUGGGAUAACUCCGGGAAACCGGGGCUAAUACCGGAUAACAUUUUGAACUGCAUGGUUCGAAAUUGAAAGGCGGCUUCGGCUGUCACUUAUGGAUGGACCCGCGUCGCAUUAGCUAGUUGGUGAGGUAACGGCUCACCAAGGCAACGAUGCGUAGCCGACCUGAGAGGGUGAUCGGCCACACUGGGACUGAGACACGGCCCAGACUCCUACGGGAGGCAGCAGUAGGGAAUCUUCCGCAAUGGACGAAAGUCUGACGGAGCAACGCCGCGUGAGUGAUGAAGGCUUUCGGGUCGUAAAACUCUGUUGUUAGGGAAGAACAAGUGCUAGUUGAAUAAGCUGGCACCUUGACGGUACCUAACCAGAAAGCCACGGCUAACUAC